rnacentral:rRNA from 1 species
AAGUUUGAUCCUGGCUCAGAACGAACGCUGGCGGCAGGCCUAACACAUGCAAGUCGAGCGCACUCUUCGGAGUGAGCGGCGGACGGGUUAGUAACGCGUGGGAAUAUACCCUUUUCUACGGAAUAGCCUCGGGAAACUGAGAGUAAUACCGUAUACGCCCUUCGGGGGAAAGAUUUAUCGGUGAAGGAUUAUCCCGCGUCUGAUUACAUAGUUGGUGGGGUAAUGGCCUACCAAGUCUACGAUCAGUAGCCGGUUUGAGAGGAUGAUCAACAACACUGGGACUGAAACACGGCCCAGACUCCUACGGGAGGCAGCAGUGGGGAAUCUUACACAAUGGGCGCAAGCCUGAUCUAGCCAUGCCGCGUGAGUGACGAAGGCCUUAGGGUCGUAAAGCUCUUUCGCCAGAGAUGAUAAUGACAGUAUCUGGUAAAGAAACCCCGGCUAACUCCGUGCCAGCAGCCGCGGUAAUA